CACAAUGCCACGUACACAGGCGUGCAGCUGCGCUCGCGAACGUGAGCCCAGGCCAGACCAGCGUGCGGCACACGUUGUCAUUUCCGUCGUGAAACAUUUGACCACGUUAUAACGCUAAUAUCGCGCGUCACCGUGUCAAGGGUGAGAGUUGAAUAUUUAAUUCGCGGUAUUGUCGGAGUCCUCGGUGCUGCUCGAUUGCUUCUUUCUUUCCGUCUCUUCUGUGCAGUCGGUUCCGACUAAUUAAUCCUGAGAUUUCUUUUGCUGCUGCUUGCGUCACGAGCAACGAUUCCGAUAAUGGAUGGCGGACGUUCAUAUAUUACGUAGAUGUACUCUUCAUAAACUUUUUCGAAGGGUCUUGCUGCGAACACGUUGAAUGGUAACCAUGGAAAAUUGGGUAAACCCGGCCGCCGGAAUAUUGCACGUUGUCAUCAAAGGAUUAAUUGAAAAUGGAGAUGACACUGUCGCCGCUUGAAAAUUACUGGGAAUGUGGAUUAUCAGAGUGCCAGGUAUAAACGUAUCUCUGUUUAUAAUGUCACUUCGAAUUGGGAUAUCUGAAUUGGCGGCAUUAUGAUUGCAACAAACCCAAAGGAUAAUCGCAAGUAAUACGAUAAUUACCGAGGAAGUGCAUUUUUAAGACUGAUUAAUUAAGACAAAAACUUCAGUUUAGUGUACGUAUUUCAUUCUUAUUAUUUGCAAUACCGUUUUAUAUUUGCAACGGUAAAUGAACAGCAGUAAAAUAACUAUGUCAGGAUAAACCACUGUAUGGAUAAAUGAAAGGUGCAAGCUCUCGAUUAGAGGUAAGAGGUUUAAAACUGAACUAAAACUAUGAAUUCAAUGGUUGCUCCUUUAAAGUACUUAUGUGGUUGGAGCUACAUUAGCUUAUUGUUAGUAAUAAUACUAAUUUUAUUAUACAUGGAUGCAUUGAUACGCAAAAUGUAAUUUCGCGUUUACGAGAGCUUACCAUGUACUGUAUGUAUAUGUGCGAAAUAAUUGAAGGAUUAAUUUACAACACCAGAGAUUGUAUAUUUAGUACAAUGAUGUAGUAAUCAUAAUGGCUACUAAUAAUAUAUAGAUGCGUUAUAGAUAAUUUCGAAUUAUUAGUUGUUGCAUAUGAUACAAUUAGCGAUUAUAGACUGUUAUCUAAAGUAUAAACUAUUUAAGUUUCGUGUAAUGAUUUGUGCAAAUGUCCUUUCAUUGCCAAUUGUUUAGUAUCGUUUAUAAUAUGAAUACACGUAUGGAAGUUAUGUAAAAAUUUACCGUACUUUGGAUGUAAAGUGAAAUUGUUAUGAGAGAAGAUUCUUACACGCCACGAAAUGUUUCUUUAUUUCUAAAAAAUAUAAUAUAAAAUGUGUAAAAAAUGAAAUGCAUAUGUCAAUAGAAUUAGUGUUUAAG